ACACUUUUGCAUCAAAUUUUUAACCGUCACUAAUCACUAUACUGAGUCUAUAUGUCUCACUCUUUCUCAUUUACAGAUUUAUUUCCUAUUUCUUCCACCCUAUUAUUAUUCACGCUCGUUUGAUAUGAGAAGAGAAGAGAUGAGAAAGUAUCAUCACAGCGUAGCCUUCACCACACUGCAGUUCGCGUUCGCCGAUCGCCGUCGCCCUUCUCUUCCCCUCUUUUAGGAAGCAACCAAAAACUUUCGUGGAUUUCGAAUCAAUCACUCAGGCCAUGAAUGGUAUAUCUUUCUUCUUUC